UACAGAGGGUGCAAGCGUUACUCGGAAUUACUGGGCGUAAAGCGUGCGUAGGCGGUUAUUUAAGUCAGGUGUGAAAGCCCCGGGCUCAACCUGGGAAUUGCAUUUGAGACUGAAUAGCUAGGGUACGGUAGAGGGAAGCGGAAUUUCCGGUGUAGCGGUGAAAUGCGUAGAUAUCGGAAGGAACAUCAGUGGCGAAAGCGGCUUCCUGGACCAGUACCGACGUUCAGGCACGAAAGCGUGGGGAGCAAACAGG
rnacentral:rRNA from 1 species